CGUGGUAACAAAGGGCCUAAUAAGGGAAACCCUCAGGACUGACGUUGCCAACAUCUGUUUACUCAUCGGUGCCUUGCACGCAAGCUUUUUUCUUCAUUCAGCCUGGGAAGGGAGGAAAGGAGGAAACACAGGGACCCUCAAGGAGCUGUGUGCCAAGGGACUCAAGCAAACCAACUACUUCUAUUAUCAAAAGAGAAAAAUGAAAGAAUAGUUUCGGGGAGGAAAAGAGAACUAAACUGUUUAACAAGCGAUUAAACAAAUCUCAUGUUCUAAAAAGCCAA